GGAGAGUCCUGACAUGAUGGCCCCAUGAUGAAAAUAACCCAGAUUCCUGAGUCACCAUGUGGACACGAGGCACCAAGGAGAAAACGUGUGAACCUCAAGCUCUGACAUUCUUCUGUCAAGUCACCUUGCAAGUGUCAUGCUUUCUGGACUCACUGCAGAUUAGAGUACCCAGAAUUAGCCAAGACCUUCAACAUUUAAUGACUAGCCACGGAGAGGAAAAAAGAAGAUGAACUGCUUGUCCCAGAAAGCGACAGAACUUUGAAAGCAGCUAUAUAUUUCCUAGCUACCUCUAAGAAAUGGAACUGUCUUCCUGAGACCCGUAAGAAGCCAACAGGUACCUCAAGAUAUAAUACUUAAAGGAAUGGCAAAGUAGCCGAUCUAAUUAAAACAUACCCCAAACAUCACAAAGUAGGAAGAUGGAUGCUGAAAGAGAUGCUUUGAGCACCACUGGUUGCCUGUAAGGAGUAUGAUCUCAAACGGCAAAGUUGACUGGAGAAACUCCCAGGCAUUAAGUGGUUUUCGAGAAGAUGUUCAUUGGCUUUCUCUUUGUUCAUGAAACAGAAAACUGUGUUUGGGUUGCAUUCCAAUACAGAGAGACUUAGUCCCUCUAAGAUUGGAAUGUGCUGGUUCUUAGGUAAUUAGGACUCCUUCCCAGCCCAAUC
rnacentral:lncRNA from 1 species